AUGGAAUUUCGGGGUCCAGGUCCGGCCUCCGCCCCAAAAAACGGAAAUUUUUGGGGCUCUUCCGUGUUUUUUUCACCCCAAAAAACGGAAAUUUUUGGGGCUCUUCCGUGUUUUUUUCACCCCAAAAAACGGAAAUUUUGGGGGUUUCGGGUCCGUUUUUCACCCCAAAAAAUGGAAAUUUUGGGGCUCUUCAACGUUCGGUUUUCACCCCCAAAAAUGGAAAGUUUGGGGCUGUCUGAGUCCUUUUUUGCCCCAAAAAGUGGAAAUUUUGGGGCUCUUCAACGUUCGGUUUUUCACCCCAAAAAAUGGAAAUUUUGGGGGCUUCAAUGUUNNGUUUUUCACCCCAAAAACUUGAAAUUUUGGGGCUCCUCAAGUCGUUUUUUCACCCCAAAAAACCUGAAGUUUUUGAGCUUUCAAAGUCGUUUUUUCACCCCAAAAUGGAAAUUUUUGGGGUUCUGAGUCCAUUUUCUGCCCCAUAAGUGAAGUUUUGGGGUCUCCAUUUCUGCCCCCCAAGUGCAGAUUUUGGGGUUUUUGGGGGGCCGGCGCUGCCGUCGGGGUUCCGGAAGGUUCCGCGGGCGGCGCUGGGAGCCCAAAGAAGAGACCCCGGAUUGGGGGGAAACGCCGCGAUUUGGGGAAAAAAACCAAAAUUCGGGAGGGGAACGCGCUGGGGGGGGGGGGGGGGCGGGAAUUUGGGGGGGUUUCGUCAAAUUUUGGGGGGAUUAAAAACAAAUUUGGGGGGAAUAAAAACAAAUUUGGGGGGAAUAAAAUCUAAUUU
rnacentral:lncRNA from 1 species